CAUCUUUAUGUUUCUUUCUUCCACCGAAAUGAAGAAAAAUGGGCAGCCAUGGAUGAGCAUGAUAUUCGGCCAAGCUUCUAUGGCUCAUCUAGAUUUUGCUCGUUAGCGAUCGGAUUCGGGAUCAUAGAAGUUGAAGUCAACCACACUAUCAAAGCCCUUUUGGUACUCCUUUAGUUGAGUUUUGGAUAUGGCAUGUAUAGGACCACCCUCGGUUGUUUUAAGUACUUUGUGAUGUAUAUGUGUGCGGCCAUGCGAAAAUGGUUCGUAAAAGUGGAGUAUGGAAUUUGACCAUAUGUGGUUUGUAAUUAUAUUUGGUUUCAUGAUGUGAUUAUGGUUUGGAAUGAGA